UACGAAGGUGGCAAGCGUUGUUCGGAUUUACUGGGCGUAAAGGGCGCGUAGGCGGCCUCUGCAAGUCGACUGUGAAAUCUCCGGGCUUAACCCGGAACGGUCAGCCGAUACUGCAGGGCUAGAGUGCAGAAGGGGCAACUGGAAUUCUCGGUGUAGCGGUGAAAUGCGUAGAUAUCGAGAGGAACACCUGCGGCGAAGGCGGGUUGCUGGGCUGACACUGACGCUGAAGUGCGAAAGCUAGGGGAGCGAACGGG
rnacentral:rRNA from 1 species